rnacentral:lncRNA from 1 species
UUUCUGUUUCCUAAGCAUCAUCUCUGCUUCUCGGCUUUGUUUCGUUUUUGCAUUUGUUUCUCCUCAUGGCAAUUAUAGCAUUCAUCCAAAGAAAGGGAGGGCAAAUCUCACCUGAAGAUUUUAUUUAGAAGAUCAAAUCAAGGCGUUUUUCUGUUUCCUAAGCAUCAUCUCUGCUUCUCGGCUUUGUUUCGUUUUUGCAUUUGUUUCUCCUCAUGGCAAUUAUAGCAUUCAUCCAAAGAAAGGGAGGGCAAAUCUCACCUGAAGAUUUUAUUUAGAAGAUCAAAUCAAGGCAUU